rnacentral:rRNA from 1 species
CUCCUUGCACACACCGCCCGUCAAACCAUCCGAGUGGAGUCUUGAUGAGGGUGGGCUUUUUGGCCUUCUCGAAUCGCGAUUCUGCAAGGAGGGUU